rnacentral:rRNA from 1 species
UAAUACGUAGGGGGCAAGCGUUGUCCGGAUUUACUGGGUGUAAAGGGCGCGCAGGCGGGUUAGCAAGUCAGAGGUGAAAUCCUACAGCUUAACUGUAGAACUGCCUUUGAUACUGCUAAUCUUGAGUACGGAAGAGAGAGACGGAAUUCCAGGUGUAGUGGUGAAAUACGUAGAUAUCUGGAAGAACAUCAGUUGCGAAGGCGGUCUCUUGGUCCGAUACUGACGCUCAGGCGCGAAAGCGUGGGUAGCAAACAGGAUUAGAUACCCUGGUAGUCCACGCCGUAAACGAUGAGUACUAGGUGUUGGGUUGCAAAACUCGGUGCCGUAGCUAACGCAUUAAGUAUUCCACCUGGGGAGUACGAUCGCAAGGUUG